CUAUGAGUCAAUGGAAAAUCUUUCCAAUCAACUACUUGUACGCUAAUGGCGUAAUGUAUAAUUGGAAUUGAAUUAUUUCUGGAUUUACAAAGAAAAACAGCAAGACUUGCCGCAGCCAAAAGUAUAUCAACCGCUUUUAUAGCUUCGCAAAAGAAAGAAUCAUCAUCCUGGACAAUCAAGAACCAAUGGAUCAGAUUUUCUUUCACCAAAACAUUUUUGUAUGCAUUGAAAAAGAAGUCAAAGUUACUUCUAUGAAAGAAUUACGAAACUUCUUAAUUUCUGUUAUCGUAUUUUGUUGGAGAUAGUUCUUGAUCGAUAAAAAAAGAGGCUAUACGCGAAGCGUGUGACGUACAGUAUGAAGAAAAGAAUUGUGAAGCUGUGACAGAUGAAUGUCCAAAAAAUAAUCUUUUAUAGGACCAAAUCUUUCUGUAAUAAUUGGAGCAUUUAAACCCGCAAAAAUUGUCGGUAUUCCCAGAGGUUUGAAAAAACUUGUUUCCUCAAAAAUGAAGAGUCUACGGUACACAGAACUUAUAUAUUAUAUUAUAUAGAAAUCCUUGGAAUGCGCCACUUCUGAGUCUAUUAAAAGUCUUUACAAUCAAUUACUUACCAUACAUGGCAGUAGUGUAAUAUAAAUUUGAAUGGAAUUAUUUCAGGACUUAGAAAGGUAUCAUAAUCGGAUAUAUGUGUAAUCGUCUUUAAUAUGAAUGGGUUUUUGAUAUAAUUGUACUUUGGACGGCUCAUGCUUCCUUAUCGAGUGCCUCUUUGUCAAGAGCUAACAAAGUUUCAUUUCAAUUUAAUCUCGAUAUCGUUCUUUGUUUUAUUUCAAUAAUCGAUUCGUUUACCCUUUCUCUCUCCCUCUCUCUCUAUAUAUAUAUAUAUAGUAUAUAAUACAUAACAGAAAUGAGUAACUAAGGGUUUACAAAAAAACAUUAUCAUAUACAUAUUCAUAUACGCCUCAAUGCAAUUAC